UAGGUUGGGGCUUGAGCAGCAUUGAGAAAAGAAUGCUAGUAAACUUGAAGAGAAGGAUUGAGCUAAACUUUAUCCCCAGAUUGUUGACUUCUUUGGCUAACAAAGUCAAACCCUGGAAAGGAGUGAGUUUGGACUUGUGGACCGUGGAAGCCUAGGAGCACCAGUCAUGGACCAGGAUUCCAUCAUGCUAGAUACUGCACAUACGCAGAACAACAAACAGUCCCUGCUCUAAAGAGCUAACAGUGACUAAAACCUGAUGCUUCAGAAGAAGCGAGUCUCGUGGAAGAUCUAGAACAAGAUUCGAUGCAGGCCAGUUUUCAUCAGGCUUUCUGAAGUAUCCCAAAAGUGUGAUUUUUUCCAAGUCACCUUCCCACUCUGCUCAGAAUCAAAAGCCAUGCUCUUCUCUGAAGAAGGAAUGGAAACCCAAACAUAGUCUGCACACACAAUAGCUAUGCCUAGAUGGCUAUCUUCGUUUCCUGAUUACCAGGGACUUUCUGGGGCCCAUUUUUUAAAGAACAA